UUAUAGGGAAUGGGGUAACGUCAGAAUAAAUAAAACAACAUUUAAUAUUCAAGUUUUUCUUGUUAACAAUUCACCACUGAUACAACAUUUACGAACUUUCCUGUCGCCACGAUAAACACGAUGGAAAAUACAAGAUCAUUGAAAAGAUAACGCUAUUUAGAGAACCGUAGAGUCUAAAUUACAUUACCUGAGUUGCCCAGACGUCGGAACCGAGCGUGGCAGAUAUGAGGUGUAUACAGAUGAUCGUGUACUGCGCUUCAGUCACGUCAAUGCGACCCAUUUUGAGGGUGCCCGUGACGUAGGCUUGCCAGUGAGCGCAGUAGAACAGCGUCAUUGCG